rnacentral:tRNA from 1 species
GCUGGCGUAGCUCAGCAGGCAGAGCAGCGGUUUUGUAAACCGCGGGUCGGGGGUUCGAUUCCCUUCGCCAGCUCCA